GCUGACAGGAAAUAAGACAUAGCUACUUUGACUAUCCACAGAAGUAACCAGAGACUAUUGAUAAACAGAUCAAAAACUGCAAAUCAUGUCUCUUCUUUCUUCUUAGGAAUCUCCUUGGAUAUCUCUUCUAAGGCCAGGCCUCGCCCUUCUUUAACCUAAUCGCUGCUGUAUUCUACACUCAUGUGCAGUUCAAGAGACAGGAGCUACAAGAUCUGAAUAGACUAUGACAGUUGGGACACCCAAAGACUGACACCAUGCUGAAAGCUCAGAACUCAGAAGGGCAUCAAGAACUUUCCUUUGAAGGAAUAAGAGGACAGUGACCAUGCCUUUAUCAGAAGCUGCUAUUUGCAUCAAGAAUGUCAGAUCAGGCAGCAACGAAAGAAGGCAGAUUUAAAAGGGCUGCUGAACACGCUUUAUUGAGAUAUCACUCCCAGGCGGAACUCAUUGGACCCACAGAGUGAACAGGAGAACGGUCUGAGGAGAAACCGCGUGGAAGCUCGACUGGACUGGACUUUUAUGGGGCUUACAGCAGGAAGAGAAGGGCUUGAGACAGGAAAAGGUGUUUCUAGGGUCCCUUGCCCCUUUGGAGUUUGUCAGGGGAGUUGGCUGAACUCCAGGAUUGGCCAGGGGGUCCUGCUGAUUGACAGGUGUUAGUCAGGAGAUCUGGCUGAUUGACAGGCGUUUCCGAUGGCAUCUGAUUGAUGCUCCUUUCCCGCUCGGGCUGCUUUGUUCUAAGUCGCCACCACCAACCUAACUAGGAGCAAGAACCAAGCUUUCAGCAAAAACUUUAUCAGGCUCACCAAGGACAGUCACUCACACAACACAGGUUAUAGCAAGGGUGCCACCAUCAAACUGAUAUAUGGAACCCCCUCCAUUUUCCCUUUCUCUUAAUUCAGGGGAUGUGGUUUUUCUAGUCCAAACUCUGGGGCCUUGUGGUCCUUCAAAGGGCUGCAUUUCUCACAAUACAAUCAUUAGAGUAGAAUCAGCACUUAAGGGAUUCUAACUGCCAGGGAACUAUUGGACACUGGGAAUCACUUAACCUGGAGGAGGAAGAGCAGGGCCAUAAGUCUGAGUGCUAUGGGCAUGGUCAAGGACAUCUACCCAGCAACGCCAACUCACUGACUCAGUAGGAGCACUUUAUGUCUUUGGCCUCUGUUUCUUGAACUAACUCAUUUGGGGCAUUCUAAGAUAUACCAGAUUUCAUUUAUAUGAAAAUCCCCAAGCCUGUUUUUGUUUUGUUUUGUUUUUGUCUAACAUAGGACUUUGACAUAUUAAAAUAGGACUGGAUAAACCAAAGUAGAAUCAUACCAUGGUUGCAUAAUAUUUUACCAAUUCUCUGUUUUAAAACAUGUUUCAACACAUUUUGUAGCAAAACCCAGGGUGGUACACAGGUGAGACGCAUCAGGAGAGUUGAUGUUUUCUGGCAUAUUCUAUCAAGUUACUACCAUACAUUCCUGCUUCACAACAUCUCUCAGCCAUUCUGGCAGGGCACAGUCCUUCCCUCAAUUACGUCAUAGCACCGAGUCCUAGCAGGCAAGUCUAUUCCUUCAGAUGCCACAAACCUCCUCUCCUGUCCCACUAGCACGUCCAUCUUUGGCUAGCACCUUACCUCACAGCAAGACUCUUUAGUCAGUUCCAAUAAUAUUUAUUUAGUGCAUGCCAUGUAUUAGGCUAAAUGUUGAGGGAAUAUGGAAAAGACCCAAAUAGACCCCCAGAUCAGAGAUGCUUAUGGAGACUUACAAACAACCAAGUACAUAAGGUGUGGUGAGCAGAACAAUGGUUCCUGAAAGAUAUCUACAUCCUCAUCCCCAGAACGACUGUUACUUUACUGAGCAAAAGAGACUUUGCAGAUGUAAUUACAUUAGAGAACUUGAGAUGGUGAAAUUAUCUGGAAUAUUCUGAGUGGACUCAAUAUAAUUAUCACAGGAGCCUUAUAAAAGGGAGGCUGAAGGAUCUGAGUCAGAGAAGGAGUUGUGAUAACAGAAACAGAAGUCAAACUGAUAAGAGGAAACAAACCAAAGAAUGCAGACCAACUCUAAAAGGUGGAAAAGACAGGGAAACCAGUUCUUCCCCAAAGCCUUUAAUAAGGGGCCAUCUUGUUGAUCCUAUUUGAACUUUUGACCUCCAGGACUUUAAGAUGAUGUAUUUAUGUUGUUUUAAAUCACUGAAUUUGUAACAUCAGCACUAGGAAACUAAUACAUAGAAUAACACAUAACAGAACAUUUGCUACAACAGAAGACAACCAAUACAACUUGUGUUUUUAAAAAGGAUAUGGGAGUACAGAAAGGGUGCCAUCCAUCUGCCGGUGUUAUAGGAAACUUCCAGGUAUUAGUAGCUUUCACAGAUUUCUCUUUAUAUUCCAACCCAGUUAUUUACCAGCCUCCUGGAAUCUCUACAAGAGUACCACAAAGCUCCUUCAGCCUCAAUAUGUUCAAUGCCUUGGAUUUUUAUUCCUAAAUCUGUUCUUCCUUUGGUGUCCCCUCAGCUGAUGAUAGCAUCACUGAUCCCUCUGCGCAGGCCAGAAGCAGGGAUUCUCCAUGCACAGGACCCCAUUUCUACAAAACAAUGUUUUUCACAAUAGUUGGACAUGUCUAGUACUCAAAAUAAAUUCAUGAUGAUCAUGCUUUCUUUUUUCAUAGAGUGAUGAUUUAUUUCAAGCUAAAAUUCAUUUUAAAAGAGCUACCACAAUUAUUUCCAGAUUACAGUUUUUUAAAUUCUUGAGAUAAGAGUAUCUACUUGAGCAAGCUACAAUAGAAAGAAAGUCUGUUUUAGAUGAGAGACCCUAAAAUAAUAAAUGCAAAAAUCAUUUAAAAACAUAAUAGAACAAGUUUGAUUUUGGCUAUCCAGACACAAAGAUCCUCAAUCAAUGAUUAAAAACCCAUGCUUCAUUCAGAGCAUAUUAUACUUAAACUAAUGUUUGCCUGCUUAUUACUACUAUGCAAUGUACUACAACACUAUACCACAGAAGUUUGUAGUUCUUAAAAGGGCAAUAGUCCCCCUUUGUCCACAGGAGAUGUGUUCAAAGACCCCCAGUGGAUGCUGGAAAUUGCAAUUAGUACCAAAUUCUAUAUAUAUAGUUUUUCCUGUACAUAUAAUAUCUAUAAUAAAGUCUAAUGUAUAAAUUAGAAGCAGUAAG